rnacentral:sRNA from 1 species
UGCCCGGGAGUGCCACGUUUAUGGGGUC